rnacentral:rRNA from 1 species
CGGUGAAUACGUUUCCGGACCUUGCACACACCGCCCGUCAAGCCAUGGAAGCUGGGUGUACCUAAAGUCGGUAACCGUAAGGAGCCGCCUAGGGUAAAACUAGUGACUGGGGCU